CCCUUGAGGCGAGGGAAGCGAGCUGGGUGGUUGCUGGCGGUGGGACUGCCUGGGGCCUGUGAUCGACCCAGGAGAAAGAGACCAGGAGAACAAACAUCGCGCUCGGGCCCGAUGUGGCAAGACGUGCGCGCAGAAACGUAACGAAGAAACGUGGCUCUUCUCAUGGUGUUAUUCCUCAAAGUAAUGUCUCUGAAGUUUAAUGUCAAGCCUAUUUAAUUUGUGUAUUGAAGGGUGAUGUUUACUGUGAAAACCUUUGUUAACAAUAAAC